GCAGGGAAGGCAAGGAACCGGGGCAAGGUUUCGGCCUUGUUUCAUUCCUCCCCAUCCUCUGGAGCUCUCCUGCCCAGGCAGAGGUACAGCACUGCACCAGAGGAGCUGGGAGCAGAGGAGGCCUUGGAGGCGUCGCCCGGCCCAGCGGCAAAGCAGCCUCCAAGGGAGUCUUGGUUCGUGGGCUGGGAAAGGCAGCUGUAGAGCAGGGUGAUGGGAUGGAUUGAAAUAGGAAAUACCUGAGCAUGACACGCAGCAUGCCUGCAUUUCUUUAUCAUCUAAGAAAGGAAACUGGAGGCCGGAGCUGGUUUUCCUCCGCAUUGAGCAGUCAGAUGAUGUUUAAUUAGAGGGAAAUUAUAAGAUUGACAGGGAUGUCAACGGUGAGCUUAAAGGGAGCACUACUCUGUACGCUAACAGAAGCCUACUGAGAGUAUAAGCUAAUGGGCUGCACAGCUUUUCAGACACAACUAAUGCACUUCCAGCUGCAGCCCACAUCUGGCUGUUUAAUCGAGGAAGGAAAUGCCCUGCCGCACUUGUGGACAGCUGCUAGGUUGUGCUGUGCACCACGAGACCUGCGGCGCUCUCUGCCUUUGAGCCAUGCAUCGUUCCGUUCUUUUCUGGAACCAGAACAAAACCACCCCGUGAAGCGCAGGGCCCAGCAGCCUGAGGUUUUCCUUACGUCAGUUCUUUCCUUGCUCCUUCACGGGUUGGCUUCAGUCUUCCCUUUAGCUUCUGCAUUUUAUUUAGAGCACUCAAAUGAAGACUGUGGACGGCAGCUGCAAUUUACAUAUGCUGGAGGUUAGUUUCAGGCUUAAAUAGCUGCAGAGAAAGCCUGCUCAUUUGCUGCUCAUUAGGGUAAUUGCAUUCACUUUGCAUGGGAAGUGCGUGCCUGUGAGAAGGCAGCGGUUUUAUGCAGAAUUUGUUCCAUGACUGCUUCGUGAGGUUGACAAACACCUUGCUAAUAGGACUGAGGUAGCUGUGGCUUCAAAUUACAGCACUUAGUUUAGGGCCAGAACCAACUUUAUAACUACUUUGAGUGUUUUUUUUUUUUAAGUGCUGUAGGCAUCUCCCAAAGGCUGCCGAGGCCCGUGGUGUCAGGGCUACUUGCACCACAUUCCUGCUUAGGUCCAGCCCGGGAGGAGACCCACCGAGCAGAGACGUCCAGCGCUGCUGCAGGUAUCAAAAGUCACUAUGAGAAGAGCCUUGUUAAACUGUAAACCUAAACUUUGUCCUCCCCGGUACAGGUCAAAGUACCUAGUAUAUAUCAGAGGUAUGUGCCAAAAGUGCAAUUUAACACCUCCUACGAGCAGCCACUUCAUCGCUAAAUGUCCCCUCGCCUUUUCACGCCGCUUUUUAUUGGGCUUUAACUUUCUUAUAUUUGUAGACUGACAACUUGAGAGUUGAGCGUCAGUCACAGUGCCACCCGCUUUAUUGCUGCCAGCCAGGAGAACACACACGCACGUGUAUGUAAGAACAGACUGCACUGCACACUUGUGGAAAAAACCUGUCCCCUAACCACCACCUGCACCCAUGGGUACACACCGAUGUUUUCAGCAAAGUGCCCGAAACUAACUUAGAAACAGGUGCUCUGGCUCUCAGGCAGCACCUGAAUGCCUCAUCAGGAACAAGAUACUCAGAAAAGACAGCUGAAGAAGAGCAUCUGCUUCUAGACACAUUCCUUAGGAGGUACUGUAAAAAUCAGAAGCUGCAUUGAGAAGACCUAAAAUAACCUCUCCAGGGAAGGAAAGAUGCUUUUACCGUGGUCUCUCAUCCACCUGAGAGGAUAAUUAUGCAGCCUGCCCCACGACACUGCUUUUUGUCCAUCCAAACAGGAAACGCUGCCACAAGAUGGUCAGCAUCACGAUGAGCCCAUUAGCAGUGGUCCCUAUGAGAGGAGGCAGCAAAGCCAAGCAUCACCUGUUAUAGUUGGCGUUUUCCUCUUCAGUCAUGCUGUUCCUCAGGAAUU